AUUUGCAUUGUAUGGCUUCUAAACCAUUUAAAGUCCAUAAUUUAUUUUAUAAACGACAAUGGAUGUGAUGCCAAUGUAAUUUGUAACAUAGUAAAUUAGGAGGAUCUUCGAUCACCUGAUGCCGCGCUAGUUACAUAUAAAAGCAUUAUUUAAUACAAUGACAAAGCCUAGAAUCAAUUGUAAACGACUUUUGUAACAGGCAAGGUGUUGUAAGUGGUUGAGCAGCUGCCAUACUGCGAUCCACUGAAGCUUAUCCUUUGCUUGAUGAUUCGA
rnacentral:ncRNA from 1 species